AAUGGUGUGACAUUCUGCUGGAGAUAAGACAGGUCCAUGAAUUUCAUGUAGCAGCUGAAGGAACUAAAAUACGAGUGAUAAAAGUGGAAGACAUAGCUGAGUAAUGUUGCCAUUUCGUUCUUUCAUCUUGUGCCAGUGGAGCAGGGGACGGUAAGUGGCUGGCUCGGCAGAUCCUGUGGUUAGGCUCACUGCAGCACCUGUGGCACUUGAAAAAAUCUGUCUCCAGCUUGCACUGAGCCACAUCAUUUUAUUCGGACAGAGCUCUGAACUUCAUCUGCCUCGAUAUGGCUAUUUUCUUCUACUGUGGCUGAGGUUUAUCUGGGAAACUGAAUUGUGCAGAACUGUGUCUGUAUGUUUGUGUGUGUGUGUGUAUGUGUGUGUGUGUGCGUGUCUGUGUGCUCUGUCAAUCUUAUAUACAGUAAUACCCUUUGAUAUCCUCAGCCUACAUUAGAUGAUGCUUACCCCAGUGGCAGAACCUGUUUAAUAAUGUGUGGAACAGGGCAGGAACCCACGUCCCUUUGCAAACCGCUGGCAGAUCCAGAAUGUCACUACGAAACAUCCUGAAAGGAAUCAGAAGGCUACUACACAUGCACGAGUGCAUUAAAGUGGUCCCCUUCAGACAUGUGAUCUUUGCACCUUGACCCCCAGAGGGAGGGACACAAGCAGCAAGUCUGAUCUGCUUUCCUGCGAUGCUUCCGUCUGCUUUUGCCGGCAUCGCCAGCUUCCCCAUCUGUUGGCCAGUCUCCGGUGAUGGGAGUCCAGGAGAGAUGAGCGUUCCUGAACUAGGCUCCAUUCGUCCCGCCCAUUCAGCAGGUCUCUGUGUGCCGGAGACGGACAGAAAACAUAACAUCUGCCUGGUGGAGAGCAGACAGUUAUGACAAAGAAGGAUGAAGAAGGAUGCCAUGACAUACAAAUAACUAGCAAUAACUAGGGGACUGCACUAUAUCAGCCAGAGCAUUUAAGAAGCUAAUUUAUGUUAUAAUGUUACACAAGAAAAAAGAUCCUUCAAUUGCAACAGCAUUGAUUAAAAACAAGCAACAAAAGCAGAGCUAUCUUUUCAGUCCAGCUGUACAGCUGCACGUCCUCCAUUGGGAGCCAACGGUGGCGACGGAGCUUUCCUGCCCAUUCCCUGGCAACCUACGGGCUCUCGUGCGAAAGUGUGCUUAUGCAGGACUUGAGUCAUCCCCCACCUAUGCUGCUCGCCACUCCAGUGGCCUGGACAACAUCCCUCCCCUCCUCCCACCCACACACACACACAUACACACACACACACACAGACAGAGUUUCAGGCCUAAUCCGCUGCGGGGGCAUGGGACAGCGCUGAGUCUUAAGCCCGCGCGACCUCUGUGGGAGCACGCUUACGCCCAACGCAAUUAUUCUUUCUCGCUGACUCCACCAUAAUUGAAGGGCAGUUGUUUUCUCUCCUGCCUGUCGUGAUAGCGAGGCAAAGAUUGGUGGAGGGGAGGGGGGCGGUGUUUCAGAGGCUGGCUCCUCGACUCACUGUCUGGUUUUAUGGUGACAAGAGAAACAAAGCUGUUUCCCUUGACAGUCGUGCAAGUUGAGGAGCAUAUAUACAUCUUGAAGGAAUUUCACCUACAUGUUUAAUUGUUUUUUCCAAUUAGUUUAAUUGGUCAAAUGGGUUUGUGGGUUAAAUUGGGACACUUUGAAUUUGGGAAUACUACAUGUAGAUGUUAGCUUCAUUAUAUUUCAUGGCAAUUUCAUGGUCUUGGCCAUGGGGCACCAGAUCAGCUAUGAGCUCCCCUCUCAACAUAGCAUGAACUUUACCAGGUCCUUCUCUCAUGGUCAGCACGGUGGCCAUGAACAUUAUUGCUAUUAUUUCUGUGUCUGUGCUUUGCUAGGAACAGACUCAGCUGAUAUCACAGCACAUUGUCACUUAGCGGUUUUUGAGGACUAUCUAUCAUGGCCCAGGACUCACCCUGAUGCAGUAAAGAGAAUGUUCUUCAUGUUACACAUCUGACCAUCUACUGCCAACUUUCUUCUUAAUUCCACUGUGUUUUUGGGAAAUGAUGUCCCUAGCCAGUCACAAGGCCUCUGUUAGGUUGCCGUUAGUGUCUAAUGUUCUCUCAAGAAAAAAAACAGCCCUUUCAAAUCCUGCUCCAUGUGUCUUCACUGAACAGAAAUUAAUGCAAAGAUAGUGUCAGAAAUUAUCUGAGAUGCAGGAUGCAAUUACAGACAAUUUAUUAAGUACACAAGCCAAGGAUACAGGCAAACCCAAAGUGGAACACAGUCAGAAGGUCAGGAACAAACACAGCAGGUCUUGGUUCUGCUCAAGGUUUCUUCCUCAUGGUCUACGGAGUUUUCCUUGCCACUGUCAACCUUGGCUUGCUCAGUCGGGGCUUUAACUUGGAAAUUUGUAAAGCUGCUUUGUGACAUCUGUUAUAAAAAGCUCUGUAUAAAUACACUUUGAAUUUUUUUUUUAUUGUUUAGUAGCAGGUCAAGAACACAAGCAGAAGAUCAGGAACACACAAAGCAUGUCAGGAACACAGGCAGAAGGUCAGGAACAUGCAGCAGGUCACAAACACAGACAAAAGGUUAGGAACACAUACGGCAGGUCAGGAACAUAGGCAGCAGGUUAGGAACACACACAAUAUGUCACAAUACAGGGAGCAGGAGUCUCCAAGAUUAUCAGAAAGACAGAGAUGCAGAACAAGGAAUUGCAAGAGUCAAGGUCGUAGGUAUAACAAAGAGUGCUCUUUAGUCCGCCAUGCGGACAUCAAUUAUUGACUUAUCACUCUAUAGUUUUCUUUCCGAUAACAAUAUCUAAAAGAAAGCUGUCCGCAGUGAACUAAAACGCCUUAGCUAACAUCACAAUAUGGGUCGUUGUAGAAGAAAUUAAUAAACUCAGAGUGAAUCAUGCCCUUUCCUGGAAUUCAGAAAAUUCAAGUCAGAUCAAGAAAGCAGUUCAUCUCUCUUUACCACCUAUCCAGCUUUUGUUUCUGUAAUUUGGCAAGCAAAAACAACCACAGUGACUCACAAUGGCACGGGGUGCUCAGCGGCUGCUGGGCCGAAAUUGCAAUGCUAUAUUAGAAAUAAACUUUACUUGCUUUGCUAUUCAUGACUGUACUGCAUAUAUGCAGUGCCAUGUCCUGGGCAAUUCAGUUCACUUGUUUAGUGGGGACAUCAGCAGAGGGAUGGAUAGUUCAAAUGAAAUAUGCAGAUAAGGAAAGGAGCCAUGUGUAACAGCUUCUUUGCAGCUGGGAACUGAGGUUGUAGGUUGCUAUAGAAUAUUAAUUACAAAGCCGUGUACCUGUUGGGAUAUGUUAAACUUAUAAAUUUAGAGCGAGGAGAAUUCUAAUAAUACAUUGGGGAAUGUAAAGGAUAGUUCCACGUUCAUUAUAAUUGCCUGUGUACUUCGGAGCCGGUGUUGAGCUAAAUCUAGUGCAGCAGAAGUUGUGCCCCAAGAGUGGAGCUAUUACAGCCCUAGCAGCAGAGUGAUAAAUGUGUUUUGGUCCAUUUCAAGCUGUAGCCCAGCAGUGGGUUCCGGGGGUGUCCUGGCAGCCUCACUCCCACUCUCUCUGACCCCAGGGGGACUGCCGGGAGGGUCUGGUGAAUGCUAAUCCAGCCGGCUGAUGCUCAGGAGUGAUGAGACAGACUCCACGCAGACAGCCCGAGCAGGUUGGCGAUGAAUGUAGGCAAAUUUCAAGUUCGCUUUAAAAGCUAAGAUUGACACAAUAAGUGGGAAUGACAUUCCAAUGACAGAUAACAAUUAGGCAGUUUUGGGACUGCUGUGUCUCGUGUUCCCCACAGAGUGUUCCCCUCAGACUUACCCCGUGCAGCACUAUGCCUGUCAGGGUUCUCCAGUACAAUUGAAUGGCUGGCAGGGUUCCCCAGUGCAGGGCAGUGCCUGUCAGGAUUCCCCAGUAUUGCCUAUUGCCUGUCAGGGUUCCCCAGUAUUGCCCAUUGCCUGUCAGGGAUCCCCAGUACAGCGCAGUGCCUGUCAGAGUUCUCCAAGCUGCCAUUUGUCCCACCUGCAUCCCCCCCUUCCUUUCUCCCUCUGUGAUUCCUCAGUCUUCCCCUUGAAAAUUCUACUGGAACACACACACACACACACACACACACAGAGUGCUCAGUUAUCAGAACGCAGGUCGCCUUCCCCACCGUCCCUGUGCCCCUCCCACGUCUAGCAGGACCAGUAGCCCGUCACUGUCCUCCCUGUAGAGCCUCGUGUCCUUGAUAAUACGAUGACAUCACCCUGCCCUCGCAUGCCGCUCCCGCUGAUGACUGUGAGACACUCAUGGUCACUCCCCAUGCUACGCCCACCACCUGUGCUGUGUGUGUCGCUCACCGUUCUACAUGCUGGUUUGAGACCUGCGGCUCAUGGCCAUUUCUCACUAUUCAUGGCUCAUUUUAUUGCCAGCCAAACAUCCUAUGGUAAUAUCUGUUUUGUAUGUUUUUUGGGGGGGUUUUCUGGGCUCUAUGGCAGAUCUCCAGAAGGAAAAAAUCACUGCUAGUUUGCCAAAAGAAUCAAAACCCCACAAAAUUGGAUGAAUAAAGUGCUCUGAUGAAUAUGUAUGCAUGUAUAAAAA